rnacentral:rRNA from 1 species
GACGAACGCUGGCGGCGUGCUUAACACAUGCAAGUCGAACGGAAAGGCCCUGCUUUUGUGGGGUGCUCGAGUGGCGAACGGGUGAGUAACACGUGAGUAACCUGCCCUUGACUUUGGGACAACUUCAGGAAACUGGGGCUAAUACCGGAUAGGAGCUCCUGCUGCAUGGUGGGGGUUGGAAAGUUUCGGCGGUUGGGGAUGGACUCGCGGCUUAUCAGCUUGUUGGUGGGGUAGUGGCUUACCAAGGCUUUGACGGGUAGCCGGCCUGAGAGGGUGACCGGCGACAUUGGGACUGAGAUACGGCCCAGACGCCUACGGGAGGCAGCAGUGGGGAAUAUUGCACAAUGGGCGGAAGUCUGAUGCAGCAACGCCGCGUGCGGGAUGACGGCCUUCGGGUUGUAAACAGCUUUCGCCUGUGACGAAGCGGGAGUGACGGUAAUGGGUAAAGAAGCACCGGCUAACUACGUG